rnacentral:rRNA from 1 species
UUGGACCUACGGGGGGCAGCAGUAGGGAAUCUUCCACAAUGGGCGAAAGCCUGAUGGAGCAACGCCGCGUGGGUGAAGAAGGUCUUCGGAUCGUAAGACCCUGUUGUUAGAGAAGAAAGUGCGUGAGAGUAACUGUUCACGUUUCGACGGUAUCUAACAAGAAAGCCACGGCUAACUACGUGCCAGCAGCCGCGGUAAUACGUAGGUGGCAAGCGUCAUCCGGAUUUAUUGGGCGUAAAGGGAACGCAGGCGGU